GUAACGGUGUCAUUAGACACUACCGAUAUUUUCUAAAGUUAUUUCU
rfam:Picea glauca, whole genome shotgun sequence.